AUUGAACGCUGGCGGCAUGCUUUACACAUGCAAGUCGAACGGUAACAGGCCGCAAGGUGCUGACGAGUGGCGAACGGGUGAGUAAUGCAUCGGAACGUGCCCAGUCGUGGGGGAUAACUACUCGAAAGAGUAGCUAAUACCGCAUACGAUCUAUGGAUGAAAGCGGGGGACCGUAAGGCCUCGCGCGAUUGGAGCGGCCGAUGUCAGACUAGGUAGUUGGUGGGGUAAAGGCUCACCAAGCCAACGAUCUGUAGCUGGUCUGAGAGGACGACCAGCCACACUGGGACUGAGACACGGCCCAGACUCCUACGGGAGGCAGCAGUGGGGAAUUUUGGACAAUGGGCGCAAGCCUGAUCCAGCAAUGCCGCGUGCAGGAAGAAGGCCUUCGGGUUGUAAACUGCUUUUGUACGGAACGAAACGGCUCUGGUUAAUACCCGGGGCUAAUGACGGUACCGUAAGAAUAAGCACCGGCUAACUACGUG
rnacentral:rRNA from 1 species